rfam:Spizellomyces punctatus DAOM BR117 chromosome Tnknown supercont1.4, whole genome shotgun sequence.
GGGGUAGUAACUCAGUGGUAGAGUGUCUGCUUCGCAUGCAGGAAGCCCGGAGUUCGAUCCUCCGCUACUCCA